GAUGAACGCUGGCGGCGUGCCUAAUACAUGCCAGUCGAGCGAACAGACGAGGAGCUUGCUCCUCUGACGUUAGCGGCGGACGGGUGAGUAACACGUGGAUAACCUACCUAUAAGACUGGGAUAACUUCGGGAAACCGGAGCUAAUACCGGAUAAUAUAUUGAACCGCAUGGUUCAAUAGUGAAAGACGGUUUUGCUGUCACUUAUAGAUGGAUCCGCGCCGCAUUAGCUAGUUGGUAAGGUAACGGCUUACCAAGGCAACGAUGCGUAGCCGACCUGAGAGGGUGAUCGGCCACACUGGAACUGAGACACGGUCCAGACUCCUACGGGAGGCAGCAGUAGGGAAUCUUCCGCAAUGGGCGAAAGCCUGACGGAGCAACGCCGCGUGAGUGAUAAAGGUCUUCGGAUCGUAAAACUCUGUUAUUAGGGAAGAACAAAUGUGUAAGUAACUAUGCACGUCUUGACGGUACCUAAUCAGAAAGCCACGGCUAACUACGUG
rnacentral:rRNA from 1 species